AUUGAACGCUGGCGGAAUGCUUUACACAUGCAAGUCGAACGGCAGCACGGGGGCAACCCUGGUGGCGAGUGGCGAACGGGUGAGUAAUACAUCGGAACGUGCCCGGUCGUGGGGGAUAACGUAGCGAAAGUUACGCUAAUACCGUAUACGAUCUGAGGAUGAAAGCGGGGGACCUUCGGGCCUCGCGCGAUCGGAGCGGCCGAUGUCCGAUUAGGUAGUUGGUGGGGUAAAGGCCUACCAAGCCGACGAUCUGUAGCUGGUCUGAGAGGACGACCAGCCACACUGGGACUGAGACACGGCCCAGACUCCUACGGGAGGCAGCAGUGGGGAAUUUUGGACAAUGGGCGCAAGCCUGAUCCAGCCAUUCCGCGUGCAGGACGAAGGCCUUCGGGUUGUAAACUGCUUUUGUAUGGAACGAAAAGGCUCUGGCUAAUACCUGGGGGUCAUGACGGUACCGUAAGAAUAAGCACCGGCUAACUACGUG
rnacentral:rRNA from 1 species